AACGCGAAGAACCUUACCUGGUCUUGACAUAGUAAGAACUUUCCAGAGAUGGAUUGGUGCCUUCGGGAACUUACAUACAGGUGCUGCAUGGCUGUCGUCAGCUCGUGUCGUGAGAUGUUGGGUUAAGUCCCGCAACGAGCGCAACCCUUUUCCUUAUUUGCCAGCACUUCGGGUGGGAACUUUAAGGAUACUGCCAGUGACAAACUGGAGGAAGGCGGGGACGACGUCAAGUCAUCAUGCCCCUUAUGUCUUGGGCUUCACGCAUGCUACAAUGGCCGGUACAAUGGGUUGCGAUACUGUGAGGUGGAGCUAAUCCCUAAAAGCCGGUCUCAGUUCGGAUUGGGGUCUGCAACUCGACCCCAUGAAGUCGGAGUCGCUAGUAAUCGCAGAUCAGCAACGCUGCGGUGAAUACGUUCCCGGGUCUUGUACACACCG
rnacentral:rRNA from 1 species